UACGGAGGGUGCAAGCGUUAUCCGGAUUCACUGGGUUUAAAGGGUGCGUAGGUGGGCAGGUAAGUCAGUGGUGAAAUCUCCGAGCUUAACUCGGAAACUGCCGUUGAUACUAUUUGUCUUGAAUAUUGUGGAGGUAAGCGGAAUAUGUCAUGUAGCGGUGAAAUGCUUAGAUAUGACAUAGAACACCAAUUGCGAAGGCAGCUUACUACACAACGAUUGACGCUGAGGCACGAAAGCGUGGGGAGCGAACGGG
rnacentral:rRNA from 1 species